rnacentral:rRNA from 1 species
CACGUAGGGUGCGAGCGUUGUCCGGAAUUAUUGGGCGUAAAGAGCUCGUAGGCGGUGUGUCGCGUCGGCCGUGAAAACCUGCAGCUUAACUGUGGGCUUGCGGUCGAUACGGGCAUCACUGGAGUUCGGCAGGGGAGACUGGAAUUCCUGGUGUAGCGGUGAAAUGCGCAGAUAUCAGGGAGGGAACACCCGGUGGGCGA